rnacentral:rRNA from 1 species
UAGGGAAUAUUGCACAAUGGGGAAACCCUGAUGCAGCGACGCCGCGUGAAGGAAGAAGUAUCUCGGUAUGUAAACUUCUAUCAGCAGGGAAGACAAUGACGGUACCUGACUAAGAAGCCCCGGCUAACUACGUGCCAGCAGCCGCGGUAAUACGUAGGGGGCAAGCGUUAUCCGGAUUUACUGGGUGUAAAGGGAGCGUAGACGGCGUAGCAAGUCUGAAGUGAAAGGCUGGGGCUCAACCCCGGGACUGCUUUGGAAACUGUUAGGCUGGAGUGCAGGAGAGGUAAGUGGAAUUCCUAGUGUAGCGGUGAAAUGCGUAGAUAUUAGGAGGAACACCAGUGGCGAAGGCGGCCUGCUGGGCUCUAACUGACGCUGAGGCUCGAAAGCGUGGGUAGCAAACAGGAUUAGAUACCC